UACGUAGGGUGCAAGCGUUGUCCGGAUUUAUUGGGCGUAAAGAGCUCGUAGGCGGUUUGUCGCGUCGGAUGUGAAAACCCAGGGCUCAACCCUGGGCCUGCAUUCGAUACGGGCAGACUAGAGUAUGGCAGGGGAGACUGGAAUUCCUGGUGUAGCGGUGAAAUGCGCAGAUAUCAGGAGGAACACCGGUGGCGAAGGCGGGUCUCUGGGCCGAUACUGACGCUGAGGAGCGAAAGCGUGGGGGAGCGAACAGG
rnacentral:rRNA from 1 species